UACGUAGGUGGCAAGCGUUAUCCGGAUUUACUGGGUGUAAAGGGCGUGUAGGCGGGAAAGCAAGUCAGAUGUGAAAACCAUGGGCUCAACCUGUGGCCUGCAUUUGAAACUGUUUUUCUUGAGUACUGGAGAGGCAGACGGAAUUCCUAGUGUAGCGGUGAAAUGCAUAGAUAUCACGCAGAACCCCGAUUGCGAAGGCAGCCUUCCGGCGCCCUACUGACGCUGAGGCACGAAAGUGCGGGGAUCGAACAGG
rnacentral:rRNA from 1 species